GAUGAACGCUGGCGGCGUGCCUAAUACAUGCAAGUCGAGCGAACAGACGAUGAGCUUGCUCCUCUGACGUUAGCGGCGCACGGGUGAGUAACACGUGGAUCACCUACCUAUAAGACUGAUAUCACUUCGGGAAACCGGAUCUAAUACCGGAUAAUAUAUUGAACCGCAUGGUUCAAUAGUGAAAGACGGUUUUGCUGUCACUUAUAGAUGGAUCCGCGCCGAUUUAGCUAGUUGUUAAGGUAACGGCUUACCAAGGCAACGAGGCGUAGCCGAACUGAGAGGGUGAUCGGCCACCCUGGAACGGAGACACGGUCCAGACUCCUACGGGAGGCAGCAGUAGGGAAUCUGACGCAAUGGGCGAAAGCAUGACGGAGCAACGCCGAGUGAGUGAUGACGGUCUUCCGAUCGUAAAACUCUGUUAUUAGGGAAGAACAAAUGUGUAAGUAACCAUGCACGUAUUGACGGUACCUAAUCAGAAAGCCACGGCUAACUACGUG
rnacentral:rRNA from 1 species